GAAGUAAGGAUAUUUAAAUAUUGAAAUAAUGGUUAAUAUGUGAUUGCAUUUCUCUAGAAAGAAUACAGGAAUUUGGAGUAGAUAUGGAAGAGACCUUACUCACCUAACAGCUCCCUUGUUCAGUACUCAGAAAAUUCCUGUCAAGUCAUGAAGGGGAAGAGGAAUGACACAAUUAUGUGCAACAGAAAACAAAUUGAAAGCC
rnacentral:lncRNA from 1 species